rnacentral:rRNA from 1 species
UUGAACGCUGGCGGCGUGCCUAACACAUGCAAGUCGAACGGCAGCAGCACCUAAGCUUGCUUAGGUGGCUGGCGAGUGGCGAACGGGUGAGUAACGCGUAGGAAUCUACCCAGUAGUGGGGGACAACCCGGGGAAACCCGGGCUAAUACCGCAUACACCCCUUGGGGGAAAGCGGGGGACCUUCGGGCCUCGCGCUAUUGGAUGAGCCUGCGUCCGAUUAGCUAGUUGGUAGGGUAAAGGCCUACCAAGGCGACGAUCGGUAGCUGGUCUGAGAGGACGAUCAGCCACACUGGGACUGAGACACGGCCCAGACUCCUACGGGAGGCAGCAGUGUGGAAUAUUGGACAAUGGGCGAAAGCCUGAUCCAGCGACGCCGCGUGGGUGAAGAAGGCCUGCGGGUUGUAAAGCCCUUUCAGUGGGAAAGAUUGUGACGGUACCCACAGAAGAAGCUCCGGCUAACUCCGU